CCAUCUCCAAUCACCACGAUUUGAUCUCCGUUUUCCUCAUUGAAAGCCACUGAAUUGACACCUGCAACAGUAAUUAAAUCACCAUCAUGGUAAUCAAAACAAGUAUAUAAUUCACUCCUUCCCUUCAAUUUUCAUGAGAGCGCCUGCUCUCCACCCCGGGUGGUUCUCCAACAGGCCUAUUAACAGUGCGUGGGUUUCACGCUUUGUUGAUGUUUGGAAUACCAAAAAAACCAUUGAGGUCAGUAAAUUUAUGUUCAUUGCAAUCACAUGCAGUGCACAUGUUUCAUAACUGGAUCAAAACGCUCUCAAUCUGAAGUUCAUCAACCAUAACCUUUGCACUGACUUUGGGAGAGUCUGAAGGAGUUUGAAUCUCAUCAACCCAAACUUUGGUACCUCACGCCCACCGUCUACCACCUCCAUUGCCGCCUUCAGCUUCGCUCCCCCGGUGAUCACCUCGAGUUCGAUGUCUGUCAAUUUCCUGAAAUUUGAAAAGAGACAUUGGUGACAGUCUUGCUACAUUUUGGAUUUUUGGCAGGAGGUGUCCACCACCAAUCAGAUAUGCUGGUAUGGUAUCUAUUCUGCAACCAAAAACUUGGCAUGAGGAACAACGAUCAAACCUCCCAAACUGGUAGAAAUUUUGCUAGAGUCCUGUUCUUGAGGUGCUCUUUGGCUUCUUGUUGGUCAUGAUGAGGGCUUCCAGCAGCUUGUGUUUGUUUAACCCUGCACUAAGUGGGAUGUAGAACUAAUUUGAUUGUCAGUUAUGUCCAGGGUUAAGUUUAUGCUUGAUAGAGUUGAACAACUUUUUAUCAAAACUUACGAGUUACGUUCGAUACUAAUGUAUGAUUAGCGACAAUCAACAUGCGGUUUAAUAAAUUGUGGUUCCAAUGUUCACCACAAAAUAAA